rnacentral:lncRNA from 1 species
AGAAGCUCAGACAUGAGAGAAUGUAGCCUACCUUCAGUGUAUGUAUACAGCUUUUGUUCAUACUAUUGAAGAAUAUAGUAUAGAUGGCAUGAAUUAAAUGUAUAAUUUGCUUUAAUAGGACAUUAAAAUGGCAAUCACCAAGACAUGAUUUUUGUUUCACUAUAAAUAAUAUACACUGUUUUCAAUAAAAAGGGCUAUUAAAGUACACUUAUACAUAAAUAUUGUUGGUAUUUUUUAAUGUUGAGUCCAGGUAAUUAUCUAAGCAUCAUUUAAGCUGUAGAAAGAGCCAAGUUUCUGCUCAUAGUUUGGGACACUUUUGGCUUGAAAAUUAGCAUGUGCCAGUUAGCAUGUCUCUAUCCUAAAAGGCAAGAAUACAUAAAACUUGUAAGCAUUCUUGUUAUUUUCUUAGACUAUUCAUUUUACUGUGGUAGAAGGGAAUCAAUAUAUAAUAUACAAAAGAUUCCAAAUAGGAGAGCAUAAAAAAAGCAUUCUUGCAAUUUGGUUCAAAUUUCUACUUUGAAUUUAUUUAAGACAUAACUUAAAAUAAUGAAAGCAUAGGCACUUAGCAUAUGAUGUUGUGAAUACUCAUGAAAAAUAUUGUCAGUUUUACAGACUGAGUAGCCGAAAGGCCAAGCCUCAAACAGGAUGAAAUGAAAAUAAAAAACAGAGUUAGUGAAAUUUUAUAAUUGGAAACUGUUCUAAGUUCCUAACUCAUCUAUUAGAGUGAGCUAAAGUAUUUAUCAUUUCCUGUUUUCAGGAUAAAUAUGUUCAGAAUGGUAGACUAUACCAUUCAUUCAUAUGCCGUUAGAAGUAUCUGUGUUAUUUCUCUUUCAACUCUGAAGCACAUUUUGAGUUGUUUUUUUUUUUUUGUCAUAGAUGAAAUAUGAAUCGAAAUACCGAUACACUAUUUUCUUGUUACUUAAUCUAUAAAAUGAAGAUUCAUCUCACUGCAUUCAGCUUUGAAAGCUGCUCUUGCUUCAUGUUCUUAGUGAUUUUAAAUUACAAGACUUACAAGAUAAAUAAUAGCCGGCCUUAAAAUAAAUGCUCUGCCCUUGUUCCAGAGACACAGAAAGCAUCACAGCCUCUGAUAGACCAAACGACUCCUUAAACACGGAAGGUAGUGGCUUAGUUGCCUGUCCUCAUGUCCUGGAACAGCCACCCCACCCACCCCACCCCACCCCUCCCCACCCAACCCCUUGUGAAGACAUGGUAUCUUGCAACUUACCCAAGAGAUGUGGGUAAGUAUAGAAAAUAUCCAUUCCUGAAUGUUUUUAACACAGUCACCGGCAGAAGUUGAAUUUUUCGUUUAGCCUUUAGAAACAGACACUUUCCUGAAGUUAUUUACUCUGAAGUCUUAGAACACUGAGCACAAAUAAAACUAUUUUAUAACUUCCAGUGUCACUUCGAGCAACCGGUUCCUGUGCUGUUGUACAGAGCAAGAGAUUAUAAAAUGAAACUCAUGGAGCACUUCUAACAUCCACCACAUUUACGAAUAGGUUCCCCAAAUCAUUCAGAAAUGUCCCGGACAACUUUUGUCUUGAGUCCUUACACAUAAAAAUGCCCACCAACACUCUUCUGAGUCAUCACUACUUUUUAUGUGGAGGAAUAACCAUAAUCACUGAAAAAUCCACUUAUUAAAAAGCAGGGCAUCUAUUAAAGAAUUCCGUUUGCAGAGUUUCCUUGAGUUUGCCGUAAGCAUCACCAAGGCUGUUCCUAUAGCAGCAUGAUAGUUCACGUCUUAGAAAAACAAGCAACCCAUUUGAAGAAGAGGUUACUGUUGGUUGUAACACAUGACCUGCAAAUCAUACUCCACAUCGUUUUAUAUUUGGCUCUAGCAGCAGCCGCAUGAUAACUAUAUGGAUUUUAGUAUUGAUUUUAUUGUUGUAUGGUCAUUGUUAAUUAUUUUGAUUCUGAUAAGGAAACAAAUACAGAGCCUUUUGGAACUUCCCAGAGGACUGAGGUCUUGAAACUAUCCCCCACUGGAACUAUAGGUCUCUAAGCCUCACUGUAGGAAAAGAAUAGUAUAGCAAAUAUUUUUCUUUUUAAUUUUUCCAGAUAUUUUUAUUGAUUCUUUGAAUAUCUCCUACAGUGUAUUUUAAUAUUUAUCCCUACCUGCUCCCCUUAGCUCUUCCAAGAUCCUUCACCAAAUCCUUAUCUGCCCCAACUUUGGAUCUUUAUUUUUAAUUUAAUAGCCUAGCAACUAAAUUUUGUGCUAUCUGGGUAAUUAUUGGUACAGAGAAAUCCACUCGAGCACAGCAAAGAUUUUAAUGUCUCUGCUACAGAGAUGCCCUCAUGGUCAAGUCAUUUAUUGUUCUUGCAGAAAACCCAGGUUGGUUCCCAUUACCCAAGUCAGGUGCCUCAUAGCUUUCUAUAGCUCUUAUCUGCAAGAUACAACACCCUCUGGCCUCCGUGGGCACCUGUAUUCACACAAACACACAAAAGUUAAGCAAGCACACACACACCAUAAAUAAAAAGUUAAAUAGGGCAGCAAUUAGAAGCAAUGUCUUGAAAGAUACAUUUUUAAGUUCUGUCAUCUCUGCUACCAUUGUUCUUUACAGAUAGGCAUGAGUUCUCUAGUGAUCUAAAGAUUAGAUACAUCUCUUUCUGUGUAGUUCAACAUGAACUACAUAUGCAAAUCCCUUGAUAUUACUGUCACCUCUGUGUACUAUAGAACAAGUGCUUUGCCUCAACAUUCACUUAGACAUAGGUAGGCGUAUUCUAAACUACCUUUCAUUUGGUCUGUUGCUAAAACCCAAUGCUGCAGUGUUACAAAAGUGGUAAUGUAUAUUUCCAACACACUCUGCUUCCUACAACGCAUAUUUGAUAAAAAAUAAAUAAAUAAAACAGUUACAGGUAAAGUGGUGGGUUAUAAGAAACAUAUAAGCAUUGCAACAAAAUUAAUGAUUAAUACAUAAUAACUUUGAGUUUGAUAAAUAAGCCAUUGUGUUUUAAACUAAUUAACAAAAAAACUUUUUGAAAUAAAUAUUUUAAGCUUC